ensembl:lncRNA
CACAUACUUAGCAGUUAUUUCCGACUAAUAAAAAAGUGCAAAUGUCUAAUUUGUUUAGAAGCAGAACUGAGAGCGGAGCAUCGGUGACAGUGACGUCACUCCAGCUCGCCUCUGAUUGGAUGAAAAUUUUAAUUUUCAACUGACCUGUGCAGUUUACACAAUAAAGUGCACACCGUGCACACAAACCCCGAAGAGCGCGUGAGAUCACCGUGAACCCGUCGCAUUCCUGUAACGCGUAACGUGUUGGUGGGAAUGUUCCUGGUCGAGAGGGGGGGGCGGGACUUAAGGCACGUCAGUCAGGCCGCGCGGCGGAGGAACGAGUCGGCGACACCUGCGAACAAAGUGAUAACCGACUUCCAGCGCGCGAACGCGCGUGAAGCUGACGCGCGCGUUCACGCGGAAUACGUCGUUCCAAAAGGUGUUCGUGACACGGAGGAGCGAGCAACGGGAUUAUAAAAAAAAAAAAAAAAAAACACAAAGAAAAAAAGUUCAUUUGAAGACUUCGAGUGAUGCGAUUUUAAGUGGAACCCGGAGCGGGAGCAGAGGCACGAGCGCAGGCUUCUGGUGGAUGGAGAGACGAUGGAGGGGAACAGAACAGAGGUGCCCCUGUAUGGACAGGUGGAGGCCCUGGUGAGCUCACCAGCCGACGCCCCCGACCGAGCGGAGUUUUACGUCGUUGUGCGAGGCUCCGCCCUCACGCACGUGACCGCGGCGAAACGAGGAGCCGACGGACGGACCCUCUGCUACACGGUUCCUGGCCACGCCCCCGCGGAAGCCGCCGCCGUCACGUCCUACUUCUACGCGGCGGGGCGGGGUGGAGCCGUGCGAGGGCCGGGCCUCCCUCCAGUACCUGGCGGACGCGGCCCAGGAGGCGGCAGAGCACCUGAAAGCGAACCGCGAGCGGCUCGGCCCCCGGAGCCACCUGGAGGUGCUGGAGAGGUUCUCCGCCGCGGGGUUAGAGCGCCGCGAGGAGGAGGAGGAGGACGGGAUUUCAGGUGGGGAGUCCGGUCUGGGGAAGCUGGAUGAGAAGAUCACACAAGCCAUGGCCAACAUGGAAUACCCUCAGCAGUGGAGUGAGGCCGACGCUCAGCCCAGAGAAGGUCAAUGUGCUCAAAGGUGAUACUGAGGAAGACGAGAGCGGCACAGAGGAAUCUGCCCCGAGCGAUGAAGGCGUUGGCAAAGCGCUCCGAGUGGACGCGGCGGCGCCGGUGGACCAUGUAUUUGAGGAACAACUGGUUCUUUCUCUGGACGACGACGACGACGAUGAAGACUUCCCGUCCUCAUCGUUUGGGGCGGUGAACGGGCGUCCCGUGCUGCCCGCCGGAGUCCAGAACCAGCCGGUCCAGCAGCCCUCGGUGAUGGACGCCGGCGACCCGACCGCCCCGCAUCACCAGCAGGAGGAAGAAGCUGACCCGCAGGUCGGGGACGCCACCGGGACGGACGGCGGGCCGCGGGACGCGGAACAGCCGCCGCCGGCCGCCGAUGCCGCCCCUCCCGCGCUCUCACCCGCCG